CAGUAGCCGCGGGAAUACGAAGGGGGCUAGCGUUACUCGGAAUUACUGGGCGUAAAGGGCGCGUAGGCGGCACGAUUAGUCAGGCGUGAAAUUCCUGGGCUCAACCUGGGGACUGCGCUUGAUACGGUCGAGCUAGAGGAUGGAAGAGGGUCGUGGAAUUCCCAGUGUAGAGGUGAAAUUCGUAGAUAUUGGGAAGAACACCGGUGGCGAAGGCGGCGACCUGGUCCAUUACUGACGCUGAGGCGCGACAGCGUGGGGAGCAAACAGGAUUAGAUACCCCCGUAGUCCCUGUCUCUUAUAC
rnacentral:rRNA from 1 species